rfam:Pedobacter sp. PACM 27299, complete genome.
AGCUUAUAGAGAAAGACGGAGGGAUUAGACCCUGCGAUGUCUUAGCAACCUGUGCUUACAAGGUGCUACAUUCUACCGGAACCGGACCAUCGGUACCCGAAAGAUAAGUU